rnacentral:lncRNA from 1 species
GAGCAGGAGAAGUUCAGAGGGAGAGAGAGAUUGACUCUGUUUACUAUAACAAGGGCUUUGGGAAUUAUGAGCCAGGAACUGUAGACCAAAACCUUACAAAUAUUGAGUGGAAAUACUGGUUUGCAUGACUAUAAACUCCAAGAGGGAGAGGACCACAGAAAUGGAGCAUACUUUUGCAUUUUAACACAGGUCUUCAAUACCUUAGCCCAGUGGGGUUUGUAAUAAGAUAAGAAUGACCAGACCAUGCAGGCCCUUGCAACUAAAGGAUGCAGCAGUUAAUAUUUGUGGAUAGGCUUAAGAAUUCCAGCUACUGACAAGACCAGGCCAAAAUAUUUUUGGGAAGGAAGAUGUUUCAAUCUCCCUCAAAUCUAUGUUGGGGUUUAUUUCUGCUGCCAAGGUCUAAAACAGCUAUGAAGUUGUGUCUUACUAUUUCUUCCAGUGGCCUGCAAUCCACUGGAAACCAUUUCCUCUGUUGUCCAGCAAGCAGUUUAAUUGAGUACUGCAGUACUCUUCUUGAGGCAGUACAAGUUGGGGAAUAAACUCAAGUAAGGGGUCAUGUCCUGUU